GUGAAAUUUGUGCACCUCAUAAAAAUUUUAUGGGGGUUUUGUUCCCUUAAACCCCCCAAACUUUUGUGUACGUUCCAAUUAAAUUAUUAUUGUUGCACUAUUAGGUCAACACAAUAUUUUUAAAACUUUUUUGCCUCUUAGUACUUUUUCGAUAAGCCAAUGUUUAUCGAGAUAUUUUGAAUAUUUGUCGAAUCCACCACAUAUUUGUAUAUGGUUAAAUACGAUUAUUAUAUUGGGAUAAACCGUAAUCGUACCCCCUCCUAACUGCCAAAGUGUCAUGGCCGCCGUCGGGACCUAUUGUGCUGACAUUUACAAUGUUUACAUAUAGAAAAGUUUGUUUUUUUCUGCUUAUAAUGCCGUUUUCUAAAGAUAUUAGUGAACAAAAUCGAUUUGCUAACAAUAUUUAAUAUAUUUUAAAUGUGCUAAAAUUGGAUUCAACAGCAAAAGUCGCAUAAAUAACAUAUAAAUAACGAAUUUGUUCACCUAUUACAAAUGGGGUUAUGUGGUUGUAACUGUUUAUUUUGGGAAUAAAAUGAAAAUGAUCAAUUAAACGACUGGAAAACUAUAGUGAAGUGAAGAACAUCUUGAAGUUCCAAUGAUGUUUCAAGAUGAGGUAAAUCGAAAUAAUUGUAUGUUAGAAGGACAGAGAAUAUGAAGAAAUGUUAUUGCUGCAUAUUUAGUGUAGUGAAAUACAAACUUCAAACAUUAUAAUAUAUUUUUUGAUUUCAAACAUUUCAUAUGAUUAUGAAAGAACAUCUUUCUUUUUAAAACAAUGAAGAAGUGAAGAACAUAAUAAAGUUCCAACGAAAAUGAUUCCAGAUGAGGAAAAUCGAAAUAAUGGUUGUAUGUUACAUGUAUAGAGAAUACGAAGAAAUGUUAUUGCUGCAAACUUAGUGUAGUGAAUUAAAAACUUAUUGUCAAAUACAAAUCAAUUUAUUUCAUACUUUUAUAAUAUAUAGUGAUAUAAUUUUAUAUGUGUUCAAAUAAAAAUAUUAAUAAAUAAAAUACAAUAAACACAAA